UAGGGAAUCUUCGGCAAUGGGGGCAACCCUGACCGAGCAACGCCGCGUGAGUGAAGAAGGUUUUCGGAUCGUAAAGCUCUGUUGUAAGAGAAGAACGUGUGUGAGAGUGGAAAGUUCACACAGUGACGGUAACUUACCAGAAAGGGACGGCUAACUACGUGCCAGCAGCCGCGGUAAUACGUAGGUCCCGAGCGUUGUCCGGAUUUAUUGGGCGUAAAGCGAGCGCAGGCGGUUUAAUAAGUCUGAAGUUAAAGGCAGUGGCUUAACCAUUGUUCGCUUUGGAAACAGUUGAACUUGAGUGCAGAAGGGGAGAGUGGAAUUCCAUGUGUAGCGGUGAAAUGCGUAGAUAUAUGGAGGAACACCGGUGGCGAGAGCGGCUCUCUGGUCUGUAACUGACGCUGAGGCUCGAAAGCGUGGGGAGCAAACAGG
rnacentral:rRNA from 1 species